rnacentral:misc_RNA from 1 species
CCGAUACCCACACGUACAGAGGACSCACGUCCGACGUACAACGUCCGUUGGAAGGAAACUGUGCCCAGCGGCCGCGCGACACAGCGUCGCCGGUCGACAGUCGUUACCGUGGUGGUGGAAACACAAGAAUACUCGUUGACGCUUCGGGGUACCUGUCGCACGUCGUCCGUUUUGCGUGCGGUGAGCAGGCCUCGGGCUUCGGCCCCCGGUCGGCGAAGGUCCAACGAACCGUCCGCGCGAAAGCGCGUUCGGUCGCCCCGUCGCAUUCUCAGUUGCACUAUUGUCAGUCAGUUACCGGUGUCGUACGGUCGGUUACCCAGUCAGGACAACGAGAGUUACACAGAC